UACGUAGGUGGCAAGCGUUAUCCGGAAUUAUUGGGCGUAAAGCGCACGUAGGCGGUUUGUUAAGUGAGAGGUGAAAUCCCAGAGCUCAACUCUGGAACUGCCUUUCAUACUGGCAAGCUAGAGUCCGGAAGAGGUAAGUGGAACUCCGUAGUGUAGAGGUGGAAUUCGUAGAUAUUAGGAAGAACACCAGUGGCGAAGGCGGCUUACUGGUCCGGAACUGACGCUGAGGUGC
rnacentral:rRNA from 1 species